UCCAUGCUCUGGUCCUUCCUGUGCAUUGCUGGAGAAGAUUGUGUUUGAAGGCAGUUUGAAUUUAACCACUUAUGCAAGUUGAAAGCAGUUUGAGUCUUUAAUACCUAACAUCAGUGCUCCACCAGUGGGACUUAUUCCUUCACUGCAAUAUGCUGUUUAUACGCUGGCAUUAAGGCAUCCUGCUAUUACCUUCCUGCGUGCUAUUACCAGUCUCCUCUGAUGCCUCCAUUCCAGCUUGCACAUCCUAGUUUUGGACUUUGCCGCUGCCGUCUGUCAGAAGCACACACAGAUUUGUUCUCAGCGUGGUUCCCGAGAUUUGUGAGCACCGGUUGAGCUGCACCUCUGCGAGGACCUCUCCUUGCUGUUUCUUACCUGCCCUUGUCAGCAUCUGAGCUUCAUCUUGGGAGCUCUGGAUAUUUCUGGUUUAGAGGAUCUCUCCUUUCCUUGUAGACUCUCUCUACUCCAGAAACAUCUAGUUCUUAAUUGAGUCUCAACCCUUCCUUCCUACAUCACUUUUUCAACUGUGUAUCGAGGCACCAUCUCUCUGUUUGGUCAUGUAUGUGUUAAAAUUUAUUAAAAACCAUGCACAGUCAUAGUAGUGACGAGGUCAAUACAGUGAGAACAAAUCCUCAAGAGAUGGAUGAGUUGCCAGCUUGGUCGGUUAGGACGAAAUGUAUUUUUAAUGCUGUCAGAUGCAAAGUUCCGCGUAUUGGGGGAGGAUUAGGGUGGUAUCGACCUUUGGAAGGUGGAGUCUCUGGAAAGGAUGCAGACUCACACCCAGGUGAGCAGGAGCAGGAG